GUAGCUUCUACAUAUCCUACCAUCUACCUAUGUAAACUUUUAGUAUAAAGUGUGUAAAUUCUAGAAAUAUUGAAGUAUGCACUAUUAAUUUCUGGUUUCUAAAUAUGUGAUUGGAAUUACAUUGGAAAAACUAUUUUGAUAAUGUUGAGUACUAUUUCAUGUAAACCGCCUAAGAUUUCACCGACUUUCAUUACAUUAAGGUUAUGUUGUUAUGGAUAAAGAUUGGUCAAAAUGCUCCCUUGAGUCAUAUCACCAUGUCCACGUGUGAAUUUAUGUGAUGCCGCUUCUGGUACAAGCAAGAAACUCUUAUUUUAGUGUCAAAAUUCUAAACCGCCUUAAUUUAUAAUGUCAUCUGGAUUCUAAACUCUAGCAUCCUAUGAUAGAGUGAAAGGAAAAUAAAUAGUAACUAGUGAUGUAAGAGUGUAUUUGCUUCAAUCCUACUUAUGUUAUUCAUGGCUACGGAUGACAAUCAAUAAGUAUGGUAUGGGUAUUAAUUUGAGGAUUUUUUUUAAUGCAUUCAAUAAAUUUCUUAACUAUCCUACAUAAAUUCUCUUCUAUUUUAUAUCUUUAGAAUAUUUUGACGAUUAAAUCGUGUUUGAUCCUUCUUUUUUCUCAUUUUUAUUUUAUUCAAAUUCUCUUAAUUUUUUCUCUACAUUAAAUCAAAACUCAACGAACAAGAUAAAGGAAAUUCAAUCAACAUUUUUAACCUCAUAAAUAUCAAUCUUUUGUAAAUUUUUUGACUUUUUAAUAAAAUUUUGAGUUUUUGUAUAAAUGAAUAGAAAUUGAUGAUUAAGAUUAGAAGUGAAUAGAAAUAACAUUUAAGAUAGUUUAGACAUAGUGCAUUAAACGUUUGUUGGAUGAAAAGGUUGAUCAAAUCAUAUUUUUUUGCGAUUCCGUGGAGUACAUUCACGUCAUUGACGCAACUUCUAAGUUGCAGAAAUUUUGGAGAUGCAUCUCCAUAAUUUUUCAGCCUUAAUUUUAAGGUUCAACCUUAUUUGUUUAUUUUUUAUUUGUAUUUUAUUUUAAUUCAAAAAAUACCAGAAAAAUAUCAUUGACUUCUUGACUUGUUAUCUUCAUUUCUCUUCUGUUUGGUGUUGAUUGAGGUUGAAUUGAUUCAACUUUGAUCAAAUUCAUUGGAUCUUGUGGUUUGAAAAUCCUUAAGGAUCAUCACCUAGAAAGAUGAAUGAAUUUGAUCAAGGAUGAGUUAUCCCUUGAUCAAUUGGGUUUGUUUGUUGACUUCUUACCCCUCCCUUUCUUCUUCAUCCAUUUCUUUCCGUCAAUGACCAAUGAGUUAAAGUCUUGAAGUUGGUCUUGACAAAUAGAAGUUUAAUCUUCUUUGAUCCAAACCAAAUUCAACUUGAUCCAUGAUCAAGUGAAUUAUUUUGUGUCAAAGAUAGGUUACUUUUUGGUCAAGCAAAUAACCAAAAGUCAAUACAAGGCCCUCCCCCUUUUGUUUGGCAUGACAAGUUUAUGGAGCUUGACUUACUAGUCAUGAUCUCUAACUUGUGUUCUUUGCCUAUAUUCUUAUUGACCGACCUCAAAUAAGUAUGACUACUACAUUAGUCCACUUACGAUUGCUUAACAUAGCGCUACAUUGUCUUAUGACAAGCUAACAUAACCUUACUAACUACUAACUUUAAUUUGAGCUUUUAAAUUUUUUCCAUUUACUUUUAAUGUCAUUUAUUUCUUGCUCAUUAUUCAUCUUGAUUUUCAUCUUUGCUCACUUGGGCACAUAUUUUAUGUUUAUGUCAUUUUUCUUUUGCUCAUUUGAGCCUAUUAUUGUAUAUAAAUAUAUUGCUAUUUUGUUGUGUUUGUGUUUGUUUUGAUGUGAACCAAAUGCAAAAGGAGAAAAGACUUAGAAUUAGGAUUUAUCCAUGCUUAAAGGAGUUCUAGAGCAACUAGGCCUCAUGCCUUUAGAAUGCAAAAAUUGUUGAAGAGCAACUAGACCUCAUGCCUUUAGAAUGCUAAAAUUCAAAGUUGAUCUCAAAGGACUUCUCUUCAAACUUAUUCUUUGUCCAUUCCCUUUAUUGUGUUAUGAGCUUUUUGAUGUGUGCUUUGUGUGAUAGGGAUCCCAUCUUAAGAUUGUGAAAAGAGGACCAUUGUCAUGAGUAGCCAAGUUAAGAGCCAAGCCAAAAGGAGAUCCUAGGAGCUUGAAUUAAAAUUAUUGAUUGAUUGUUUGUAUGCUAAGUCCAAAGGAAAUGAGCAUCUUGAGUCAUCUCUAUGACUCUAAGAAAAGGAACUCCAAGGGUUUUAUCUUUCCCCUCUUAUCUUUCUAUGCUUUAGGGAUAACCCUUCUCUCUUCUCCCACUCUAACCAAGUCAGAAACCAUUUUUAAAACUUUGACUUUAUUUCAAAUUAGAAACCUAGGCCUUAAGCCUUUGACUUUUCAAAACCAUUUAUAUAAAUACUCAUUGUAAAUAAACUUUUAUCCAACUUUGACCUCAUUUUGUAAAUAAAUCUAACUUGUAAAUAUAACUCAUUUCAAGUUGUUUUUGUGGUUCCAAUGGCCACUUGUUUCAAUCUUUUUUUCAAAAACAUUAGUCAUAGGUUUGAGUUAUCAUAGUGGUUGAUGUAAAUCUCACCCCAUCCUUAGUGUUAGAUUAUAAGCCUUCCAUGCUUAUUAUAGGGUUAACCCCUCACUAGCAUGUUGAAGCCUUCCUCACAUGGUGGAUUGUUGGUUUAGGUUGAGUUUUCUCCAUUUGAUAACAAAAGACCUUAAGGCUUUUGAUUAAAAUCAAUUCACCAAUCUUUGAGAUUUUUACCCCGAACUACGAGGUUUUGAUCCUCCUUUGUGAUGGUACGUAAGCAAUGGGUUCAUCCAUUCAAACAACAAAAAUUGUAAAUAUAAUCUAUUCUCUUCUCAUCCCUCCAAUCUUUUGCACAAAUCUUUUCACAAAUACCAACCUACAACACAUAUUUGCAAAAAAAGGUUCCCUUAGAGUACUAAGGAUGUUUUGGGUGCGUAAAACUUUCCCAUUUCAUAACCAACCCCCUUACCUAGAUCUCUGACAUUUUUAUUACUUUUUGAUUUGAAAAACUUCUUACUUGGCUUUUCUUCGCUUUUUAGCCUUUCCUUUGGACAAAUAAAAGUGCGGUGGCGACUCGAAUUGUAUGUUGACUUUUGGUUUAGUCAAUAAACCUAAAGUUUUGAAUUAGAUACCUUACCAGUGUCAUCAUGAAAAAGAAAAAGAAAAAUCACCAGAAAAAUAAUGAAUGAAGGAGAUCAACAGAGAAGUUCCCUUGCAGAUCGAAAGUUGAUGAAGAAAAGGGAAACUGACUACUUGUACUCAAGCUUCAGAUACAACAGUUUGUAAGGUUUGAGCCAAAUAUUUCCACAAUUUAUUUUUUCUUCUUAUGAGUGUAUCCAUACAUUAGUCAUUUUUUAGAAUUUGCACUAUUUCUAAUUUCGAGUCUUUUGGCCUGAUAAAAACACAUUGAGACAACUGAUUGUGAAAAUUUUGAGCCUUUUAAGCCACUCUAUUUGAAUGUGAUUGUAGCUGUUGUUUAACCA